AAAUAAGAAUGAAAAAAAAAUAACAAAACAAUAUAUUGUAUUUAAUAUAUAUAUAUACCCAGGCAUUGUAAACUAGUUCAUAGCAACGUCGCUUUUUGAUCCUACAAUGUAGGCUCUUCCUAUCACUGUGAAGCAGAAUUCACCAAGCGUUGGAUUGUUCUCCCACUAAUAGGGAACGUGAGCUGGGAUUAGACCGUCGUGAGACAGGUUAAUUUUACCCUACUGAUGAUGUGUUGUUGUGCUAGUGAUUCUAGCCAAGGGCCUAGUUCAAGAGCCUCUGUAUCAAGAGACUUAUGCUAUGAAUAAAAAUAUCAAAACCAUGAUUUUGAGACUCUCUGCAGGACCACUCCUAAAACAAAAGGUGCUCUUUGCAUUGGGGUUGUGGAGUGCAGGCACAUGAAUGUACUUUAGUGAUUAGUUUAGCUUUUUUGGAAAAUAAGAAGUUA
rnacentral:ncRNA from 1 species